GUUCGAGUCCCCUUUUUUGCU
rnacentral:tRNA from 1 species